rnacentral:rRNA from 1 species
GACGAACGCUGGCGGCGUGCUUAACACAUGCAAGUCGAACGGAAAGGCCCUGCUUUUGUGGGGGGCUCGAGUGGCGAACGGGUGAGUAACACGUGAGUAACCUGCCCUUGACUUUGGGAUAACUUCAGGAAACUGGGGCUAAUACCGGAUAGGAGCUCCUGCGGCAUGGUGGGGGUUGGAAAGUUUCGGCGGUGGGGGGAGGAAUCGCGGCUUAUCAGCUUGUUGGUGGGGUAGUGGGUUACCAAGGCUUUGACGGGUAGCCGGCCUGAGAGGGUGACCGGCCACAUUGGGACUGAGAUACGGCCCAGACUCCUACGGGAGGCAGCAGUGGGGAAUAUUGCACAAUGGGCGGAAGCCUGAUGCAGCAACGCCGCGUGCGGGAUGACGGCCUUCGGGUUGUAAACCGCUUUCGCCUGUGACGAAGCGUGAGUGACGGUAAUGGGUAAAGAAGCACCGGCUAACUACGUG